UUCGUAAGCUAGCUCUCUCACACGGUCGCCCACUGAAGCUAAGCAGGGCUGCGCCCGGUCAGUACCUGGAUGGGAGACCACAUGGGAAAGCUAGGUUGCAGCCGGAA
rnacentral:rRNA from 1 species